rnacentral:rRNA from 1 species
ACUCAAAUGAAUAGACGGGGGCCCGCACAAGCGGUGGAGCAUGUGGUUUAAUUCGAUGCAACGCGAAGAACCUUACCUACCCUUGACAUCCGUGGAAUUUUGCAGAGAUGCGAAAGUGCCGAAAGGAGCCACGAGACAGGUGCUGCAUGGCUGUCGUCAGCUCGUGUUGUGAGAUGUUGGGUUAAGUCCCGUAACGAGCGCAACCCUUAUCCUUAGUUACUACCACGUUAUGGUGAGGACUCUAAGGAGACUGCUGGUGAUGAACCGGAGGAAGGCGGGGACGACGUCAAGUCAUCAUGGCCUUUAUGGGUAGGGCUACACACGUGCUACAAUGGGAUGUACAGAGGGAAGCCAACCUGCGAAGGGGAGCCAAUCUCAGAAAACAUCUCGUAGUCCGGAUUGAAGUCUGCAACUCGACUUCAUGAAGUUGGAAUCGCUAGUAAUCGCGAAUCAGAAUGUCGCGGUGAAUACGUUCCCGGGCCUUGCACACACCGCCCGU